rnacentral:lncRNA from 1 species
GGGCCGUGAAAUAAGGCCCGACGGGCCCCGGGGCGCGUGCGCGGACCGACACUGUCAGCUCCUAACGCCGCAGGUUCCUCCUGGUCCCCGAGGCCCCCGGUCGGGCGUUGCCUGCCCCGCGCGGGCGGCCGGGCCGAGGGACGAUGGUCAGUGGACGGACGGCGCCAGGGAGCAGUGCCCACGCGCGGCAGGGCGGUACCUUCAGGCCUCCAGGACUGGCUCUCCUGACCUCUCCAGGUGUCAUCGAACACCCUUGUGCUUGCUGUCACCCGCUGCCUGUCUGCAGGAUCCCGGAUUCCGUAUCAGGGGACCGAAAUUAGUCGGAAAAUAGGAAGCAGGUGCUCGCUUGGAUGGAACCCUGACCCUGUGCUCACACUUGUAGGAGGAGGGCUCUGCAGGCCGCCUCCCGGAACGGGAGGUUCCCAAGCCACUGCACUUCGGAGGGGCUGUAAUUAGAGUUGCACAUUCAUUCAGUUCCCAGUAAAGUAGAACGUGCUCCAGCCAGUGAGGAAAAGGUGUUUUUAAAAAUUAGAUUGGCCGAGUGCGGUGGCUCAUGCCUUUUACCUCAACACUUUGGGAGACAAAGGUGGGAGGAUCACCUGUGGCCAGGAGUUCAAGACCAGCCUGGGCAACAGAGCCUGUCUCUGGGGAAGAAUAAAAAAAAAAAUUGAGCCUUUGUCAGUGCUACUAUUUUAUUAUCUGGUAAAUAUGAGAGGGUUCACGCGGUCUAUGUGUGUCAUUUAUCUGAGUUUGCCUAUCGUCACGUUUUGGAAAUAAAUGUCAAUAAAGUCGAAGAGGAGUGCUGAGGGGGGCCUGGGGAUGGGAGGGUGGCUACAUCAUGCCUGUGUGUUGCGCAAGCCCACCGAGGUCGGCCUGGGGUGAGCCCUGGGGCCUGUUCUGCCUCCUUCACUCUGGGGCUCCAAGAGACAAACUGGGCAACAAGAGAGAAACUCCAUCUAAAAAAAAAGAAAAAUCACCUCCAAGAUAACUUAGCUUUCUUCUGCUGGCAUAACAAAUUAUCUCAAACUUAGUCGCUUAAAAAUGCAAAUUUAGGCUGAGUGCGGAGGCUCACGCCCAUAAUCCUAGCACUUUGGGAGGCCAAGGCAGGAUUGCUUGAGGCCAGGAGUUCGAGACCAACAUGGCCAG